CAAAUGGAGUAUUUUUUUUUUGUUCAUUAAUUUAUUAUAAAGUAAAAAAUAAAAUAGAAUUAGAGUAUUUUUACUCCAUAUUCAGUUUUACUCUAUUUGGUAGAAAAAAAUUGAAUAUUACAUUAGAAAUGCUCUAAAGAAUGGACCUCAUCUCUUUCCAAACUAGAUAUUUGUGAUGGCUCUUGUUUUUCGUUUGUGUUGACUAUUCUCUUUCUUGAUUAUUCUGUCUUUUUGUUUCAUUCUGGCUAUAUUUUUAUUCCUUUUAGAUGCAAAUAAAUGCAUGUCUACGAUUAGUUCUUUGUAUGUUUUUCAUGCAAUUAUGAUUUAUUUAUUUUUAUGAGAAUAUGAUUAAUUACUUUGUCAAAUUAAAUGGUUAGGAUCUUUUAAUUAUAAAUUUUGCUUUGUUUCCAAAUACUGUAAGAUAUAAAUUAAAGUAAUAGAGAUUUGCUAUCCAUAGAACAGUUACAAAAUUAAUUGUAUUCUCUCUUUUUAGUCAUACAAAAUGAAUUGUAUUCAAGUCAAAGCAACAAAUGUAUUACAAUGACAAUUAAUGUUUGAUUUCAUUCAUCUCAUCAUGUACAUAUAUAAUAUAUACAUACACAAAUUAUACAUAUCAAACAACAAACAUCAGUUUAAAUUUUGAAUUCCAAGUCUAAAUAACAAAAUUGUCUAAGAGAAUGGCACAAAAGGUGUGUAUGAUAAUGAUGACACUGAUAAUGAUCGGAUGUCAUCUAAAAGCAUGCAGUGGAAUGGAAAACAUUGGAAUGGAAAACAUGUCAAAGGAAGGCCAUCUCACAACAAUGGAAACAAUAAGGCCAGAUGAUGUUCCAAACCCAGUAUGCAUAAGGAACUGUAGUGUUACUAGUCACAGUAAAAAAGAGUUUCAAGAUUGUAUCACACAUUGCGGAUGAUCAGUUCUGAAUGUUCUAUGACGAUGUAUUAAAGAUAUUUACAACUCUUUUUCGAUAAAUAAAAAUAAUAAUAAUGCAUUA